CGUAACGUUUACAUUGACCAGAUUUUUCUCAUCCCUAUCCUGAGUCUCGGAACUUCAAAAGAACUUUAAGAAAAGAAGGAAAAAGCGAAGAAAAAUUUGUGGCAAAUUACGGACGAGGAAACUCAGUCAACCUGUCAAGUUUCAAAGCUGGCGGUUGCAGGAAUAAUGAUAGUUGAUUAUGUAUGGCUUGCUUGGAACCUUCUUUGGCCAAAAAGUGGGCGACACUGUUUGUCUCACGAAAGUUAUGACGGACCACUGGAUUCCCCAACCUCUUCAACAGGCACUUGCAAGAAUCAAUUAGUGUUUGGUAACUAGGACUUUGUUGCUCUAGUAGUUGUAUGACCUCAGUGGAAUCUGUUUCGAUUUCAAUGGGCCUGUGAUGGUAGUCUGCUGCUAUUUGCAGUCCUUGAUGUAAAGCUAAUAACUCCAUAUGUGUGUGAUUAAUAGCAUAGGAAUACUUCUAGUAGCCUGCUACCCAAUCUCUAUUUGAAUUUCUAAUCACUCCACCAAUUCCACCACUGUUUGUAUUAGUGCUGAAAGCAUCAUCCGUAUUUAGCUUGAAAUAGCCAACAAUGGGGUGAGACCAAUUCACAUGGAUUGUCUUUUUUUUU